GACUUUCAUGAACAGAAAUAGUCUCCAUAAUCUAAUCUCCAGAAUGCACUAAACCAGGAGAAGAUCCACCUGGAUAAUUUCGUUGUCAAAGGAAUGGAAGAAUAUUAAGGAGAACAAGUCCUCAUCUCUCCAAAGACCCUUCAUCCUUCAUUUCACAAUAGUCUUUAUUGGUCUGCUGGAGUUUGCUGGAGGUCCACUCCAGACCCUGUUUGCCUGGGUAUCACCGGCAGAGGCUGCAGAGCAGCAAAGAUUGCUGCCUGCUCCUUCCUCUGGAAGCUUCAUCCCAAAGGGGCACCCGCCUGAUGCCAGCCAGAGCUCUCCUGUACGAGCACUUCUCCUUGCUGCCGCCAUGUGAAGAAGAAUGUGUUUGCUUCCCCUUCCGCCAUGAUUGUAAGUUUCCUGAGGUCUCCUCAACCAUGCUGAACUGUGAGUCAAUUAAGCCUCUUUCAAUUAUAAAUUACCCAGUCUCAGGUAUGUCUUUAUUAGCAGCAUGAGAACGGACUAAUACAAUCCCCAUAUAACAAAUCUGCACAUGGGACCCCUGAAUGUAAAAUUAAAGUUUAAACUAUUAAAAAAAGAAAA
rnacentral:lncRNA from 1 species